CAAUUCGGACUGCAGGCUGCAACCCGCCUGCACGAAGCCGGAGUUGCUAGUAAUCGCGAAUCAGAAUGUCGCGGUGAAUGCGUUCCCGGGUCUUGUACACACCGCCCGUCACACCAUGGAAGUUGGGGUGCCCAAAGCCGGCAAGCAAAUAUGCUGUCUAAGGCAAACCAAUGACGUGGGUGAAGUCGUAACAAGGUAAC
rnacentral:rRNA from 1 species